rnacentral:rRNA from 1 species
UGAGGAAUAUUGGUCAAUGGACGCAAGUCUGAACCAGCCACGUCGCGUGAAGGAAGACGGCCCUACGGGUUGUAAACUUCUUUUAUACGGGAAUAAAGUGCCCCACGCGUGGGGUUUUGCAAGUACCGUACGAAUAAGGAUCGGCUAACUCCGUGCCAGCAGCCGCGGUAAUACGGAGGAUCCGAGCGUUAUCCGGAUUUAUUGGGUUUAAAGGGUGCUCAGGCGGGGGAUUAAGUCGGCGGUGAAAUUU